rnacentral:rRNA from 1 species
CCUACGGGUGGCAGCAGUGGGGAAUAUUGCACAAUGGGCGGAACCCUGAUGCAGCGACGCCGCGUGGGUGAAGGAGUAUUUCGGUAUGUAAAGCCCUAUCAGCAGGGAAGAACAAUGACGGUACCUGACUAAGAUGCACCGACUAAAUACGUGCGAGAAGCCGCGGUAAUACGGAGGGGGCAAGCGUUAUCCGGAUUUACUGGGUGUAAAGGGAGCGCAGGCGGGGCGUUAAGCCUGGUGUGAAAGCUCGCGGCCCAACCGCGGGACUGCAUUUGGAACUGGCGCGCUGGAGUGCGGGAGGGGUAGGAGGAAUUCCUAGUGUAGCGGUGAAAUGCGUAGAUAUUAGGAGGAACACCAGUGGCGAAGGCGGCCUACUGGACGGUGACUGACGCUGAGGCUCGAAAGCGUGGGGAGCAAACAGGAUUAGAUACCCGAGUAGUC